UACAGAGGUCCCGAGCGUUGUUCGGAUUCACUGGGCGUAAAGGGUGCGUAGGUGGUGAGGUAAGUCGGAUGUGAAAUCUCCAGGCUCAACCUGGAAACUGCAUUGGAAACUACCUUGCUAGAGGGUUUGAGGGGGGACUGGAAUUCUCGGUGUAGCAGUGAAAUGCGUAGAUAUCAGGAGGAACACCAACGGCGAAGGCAGCUCGCUGGGACGGUACUGACGCUGAGGAGCGAAAGUGUGGGGAGCAAACAGG
rnacentral:rRNA from 1 species